rnacentral:piRNA from 1 species
UAAAAGUUUGCUGAGUUCUGGCAACUCUGUC